rnacentral:rRNA from 1 species
UACGGAGGGUGCGAGCGUUGUUCGGAAUCAUUGGGCGUAAAGCGCGUGUAGGCGGCUAGGUAAGUCUGCUCUGAAAGCCCGGGGCUCAACCCCGGGAGGCGGGUGGAUACUGUCUAGCUCGAGUCCGGAAGAGGGGUGUGGAAUUCCUGGUGUAGCGGUGAAAUGCGCAGAUAUCAGGAGGAACACCAAUGGCGAAGGCAGCUCGCUGGGACGUUACUGACGCUGAGACGCGAAAGCGUGGGGAGCAAACAGG